AGGAGCUAUUAUUAUUGCCUUGGGGUUUUAUGCUGUGGUAUGGGGCAAAAGCCAAGAAGAAAGGAUGGUUGAAGACAAAGAGAAGUGUUGCUUGGAGUCAUCUUCCCCGAAAGUCCCUCUUCUGCAGAACAAAUGCACAAAUAUAUAGAGAAUUUUUGCAUGAAAUGCGCUCACACGCACACACACACACACAUAUAUAUAUAUAUAAUUAGUAGAGGAUUGAGCCUUGAUGGAGUGGGAUUCAAAUCUAAGAGACCAAGCCCA
rnacentral:misc_RNA from 1 species